UUUCCCUACGGGAGGCAGCAGUGGGGAAUAUUGGGCAAUGGGCGCAAGCCUGACCCAGCAACGCCGCGUGAAGGAAGAAGGCUUUCGGGUUGUAAACUUCUUUUGUCAGGGAAGAGUAGAAGACGGUACCUGACGAAUAAGCCACGGCUAACUACGUGCCAGCAGCCGCGGUAAUACGUAGGUGGCAAGCGUUGUCCGGAUUUACUGGGUGUAAAGGGAGCGCAGGCGGCACGGCAAGCCUGAUGUGAAAGCCCGCGGCCCAACCGCGGGACUGCAUUGGGAACUACCGGGCUGGAGUGCCGGAG
rnacentral:rRNA from 1 species